GUGGGGAAUCUUGCGCAAUGGGCGAAAGCCUGACGCAGCCAUGCCGCGUGAAUGAUGAAGGUCUUAGGAUUGUAAAAUUCUUUCACCGGGGACGAUAAUGACGGUACCCGGAGAAGAAGCCCCGGCUAACUUCGUGCCAGCAGCCGCGGUAAUACGAAGGGGGCUAGCGUUGCUCGGAAUUACUGGGCGUAAAGGGCGCGUAGGCGGACAGUUUAGUCAGAGGUGAAAGCCCAGGGCUCAACCUUGGAAUUGCCUUUGAUACUGGCUGUCUUGAGUACGUGAGAGGUGAGUGGAACUCCGAGUGUAGAGGUGAAAUUCGUAGAUAUUCGGAAGAACACCAGUGGCGAAGGCGACUCACUGGCCCGUUACUGACGCUGAGGCGCGAAAGCGUGGGGAGCAAACAGGAUUAGAAACCCCUGUAGUCC
rnacentral:rRNA from 1 species